GCAGCAACGCCGCGUGAAGGAUGAAGGUUUUCGGAUUGUAAACUUCUUUUAUUAAGGACGAAAAAUGACGGUACUUAAUGAAUAAGCUCCGGCUAACUACGUGCCAGCAGCCGCGGUAAUACGUAGGGAGCAAGCGUUGUCCGGAUUUACUGGGUGUAAAGGGUGCGUAGGCGGCUUUGCAAGUCAGAUGUGAAAUCUAUGGGCUCAACCCAUAAACUGCAUUUGAAACUGUAGAGCUUGAGUGAAGUAGAGGCAGGCGGAAUUCCCCGUGUAGCGGUGAAAUGCGUAGAGAUGGGGAGGAACACCAGUGGCGAAGGCGGCCUGCUGGGCUUUAACUGACGCUGAGGCACGAAAGCGUGGGUAGCAAACAGGAUUAGAUACCCUGGUAGUCCACGCUGU
rnacentral:rRNA from 1 species